UGUGUGUGUGUGUGUGUGUGUGUGUGUGUGUGUGUGUGUGUGUGUGUGUGUGUGUGUGUGCACUAGAGUGUGAUGGAGGUUUUUGUACGAUGGUUUCAUUAGAAUGUAUCACUGUGGUGGACUUUUGGUGGAGGCUCCAAACUCAUUGUGAACACUGGUCCUGUGGUGAAUCCCUCCGUGUCUCUGCUCCCUCCGUCCCCUCUGCAGACGUCUGAAGGAUCGUCAUCGCUGCUCUGCCUGCUGUCUGGCUACUCUCCACAGGGGGCGCUGGUGAGCUGGACAGUGGACGGCUCCGAGGUGAAGAACGGGGUUCUGACCAGCGCCGAAGAAGAGAAGAACGGCCGUUACAGCCGCAGCAGCACCCUGACCCUCAGCAAAGACCUCUGGGAAAAGGGGGAGGAGUUCAGCUGUAAGGUCUCCCAUAACAACGCCAAUCAUCUAGUCACGUUCAGAAAGAGUCACUGUGAAGGCUAGUGGACCCAAGAUAGAGUUUAACAUAGAGCUGCUUAUCAUCCAUCCUAAAUUUGGAUUUAUCCUAAAUCCUAAAUCCUAAAGUUUCAAUUCUACACAAUGCUGACAUUUCUGUCUUUACUCUGUUCACUGUCCUGUUGCUCUUCCUGUAGUUUUUGCUGAAAUAAAGCUGAGUUUUGGACGUUGUUUGUUCUUUUAUUCCAGUUAAUAGUGAUGAUCAGUGUGAUGAGAGAGUGGGAUUAGCUGUAGAUUCAGUGCUGUGUGUUGUGCUUCAGUGAGUUUGACUGAAGGAAGUUGAACAUCUGGUGAACUUUCUGCUCUAUUCUGGGAGAAAUGAAACUCUAAAUGACUGAAUCUGCCUC